CCUUUUGAAAUUAAUUUAAGGUCUAAUCUGCCCACUGAGGAAUUAAAUGGCCGCGGUAUUUUGACCGUGCGAAGGUAGCAUAAUCAUUAGUUUUUUAAUUGAAAGCUGGAAUGAAAGAUUGAAUGAGAAAAUAGCUGUCUCAAAUUAAUUUAUUUAGAAUUUUAUUUUUAAGUUAAAAAGCUUAAAUGAAAUUAAAAGACGAGAAGACCCUAUAGAGUUUUAUAUUUAAUUUUGAAUUUAAUAUUUUUUGUUUAAAUAAAUUUAAUUUGAAUUAAUUAUUUUGUUGGGGUGACAAAAAAAUUUAAUUAACUUUUUUUUUAUUUAAAUACUAAUAUGUAAAUUAUUGAUCCAAAUUUUUUGAUUAAAAGAUUAAAUUACCUUAGGGAUAACAGCAUAAUUUUUUUUGAGAGUUCUUAUCGAAAAAAAAGAUUGCGACCUCGAUGUUGGAUUAAAAUUAAGUUUUGGUGUAGAAGCUAAAAUUUUAGGUCUGUUCGACCUUUAAAACUUU
rnacentral:rRNA from 1 species